rfam:Plautia stali symbiont DNA, complete genome.
GCUUAUUCUCAGGGCGGGGCGAAAUUCCCCACCGGCGGUAAAUCAGCUUCGGCUGAAAGCCCGCGAGCGCUUUCGCUGUACAGUGAAAGGUCAGCAGAUCCGGUGUAAUUCCGGGGCCGACGGUUAAAGUCCGGAUGGGAGAGGGUAACG